rnacentral:rRNA from 1 species
GAAAGCGUGGGUAGCGANCAGGAUUAGAUACCCUGGUAGUNCACGCCGUAAACGAUGAGUGCUAGGUGUUAGGCCCUUUCCGGGGCUUAGUGCCGGAGCUAACGCAAUAAGCACUCCGCCUGGGGAGUACGACCGCAAGGUUGAAACUCAAAGGAAUUGACGGGGGCCCGCACAAGCGGUGGAGCAUGUGGUUUAAUUCGAAGCAACGCGAAGAACCUUACCAGGUCUUGACAUCCCGAUGCUAUUCUUAGAGAUAGGAAGUUACUUCGGUACAUCGGAGACAGGUGGUGCAUGGUUGUCGUCAGCUCGUGUCGUGAGAUGUUGGGUUAAGUCCCGCAACGAGCGCAACCCUUAUUGUUAGUUGCCAUCAUUAAGUUGGGCACUCUAGCGAGACUGCCGGUAAUAAACCGGAGGAAGGUGGGGAUGACGUCAAAUCAUCAUGCCCCUUAUGACCUGGGCUACACACGUGCUACAAUGGUCGGUACAACGAGUUGCGAGCCGGUGACGGCAAGCUAAUCUCUGAAAGCCGAUCUCAGUUCGGAUUGGAGGCUGCAACUCGCCUCCAUGAAGUCGGAAUCGCUAGUAAUCGCGGAUCAGCACGCCGCGGUGAAUACGUUCCCGGGCCUUGUACACACCGCCCGUCACACCACGAGAGUUUGUAACACC